rnacentral:lncRNA from 1 species
CACAAAGGUAGGCAAUGUGGAUGGGAAGUGCUUUGCAGGGCUGAAGUAAUAUCAAGAAAAAAUCAAAACUAGAGGGCUGGGAAGCCCUCUAGGAGAUGCAAACAUGCCUACACCAGAUAGAUUUUCUGCUCUGCUUCUCUUGGAGAGUCUCUAUGUAAGGAGAGCCCAUGUGGAGGCCAGGAUAUGCUGUGAUUUACCCAGAAAGUGCCUCUGCUGUAGCAUGCCAUCAACUAUCCUCAGGUCUUCUCCCAUGGCUCUGUCUUAUCUCAUCCAUCACCUCCAGACGUGAGCCCCUUGCCUCUUCAAGACAACACCCAGACUCUGAAUACAAGCCCAGGAGUCACUGGAGAGGAGUUGAUUCUUCCCUCACACCAAGAUGGGGAGCAGCCAGGAGUGGUGUUGAUAUAAUGGUAGACAAAAAGUGCAGCUCUGCUAAACUGCUGUUGUAAAAGGACCUAUGACUUUCUACCAGUUUCUCUCACACAAUUGGAACUAGCACCUGGCUGCUAGUUAUGGGUGAGAAAGGAAGCUAACACACAUGGAAAAAGGAGAAGGCUGUGAAGACAUUCCAGAUGCUAUGGCCUUAUUUCCUUUUCCCCCCCCCCCCCCCNNNNNNNNNNNNNNNNNNNNCCCCAAUUUCUGUCUUUGGGGCACAGUCACCUCCAGAAAUCUCCUACCAAGGGACUCAGAACAGCAACAGCAGGAACAGACUCCAGGAUUUCCUCCAGUUGUGCUUGCUGGUGCCCCCUUCUACCCAGAGAUCAGUGCUGCAUAUAAGGUCUGUGCCCAUAGGUAGCGGUAUGAAUUGUGCCUAGAAAUAAGUACUGCUGCAUGGAGGAAACCUUUGUGUGGAGCAGCCCUCCAUUUGGGCAACACUGGUUGCCAAGUAAGUGUCAUUGUGAUUUGUUACUCAUUACGUUGGCUCCCCGUGAAAUAUGAAGUUGUAUUGAAUGUCUCAGUUGUAAUCUCCAGGAUCCUGAAAAGACUUGGCAGAGUUAGAUGAAGCAGUGUCUCUCUCAUGGGAAUGAUGUACUAGAACAGCUGCUUUCCCCAGAAAGAAUGAAGAUGUCACUUUUGAGCCUGAGAGUGAAAGUGAAUUGAAGAGGGGGGUCCUUUGUAGCUUUUGAGAUGUUCUCGAUCUUAGGUGGGAAGGUUGGAAGCGCUAGGGCCUUGUGGUCUGCAGAACAGAUCCCCUGCUCACAGACUCAUCUCACCAAGGGAAGAGGAAGGAGCCUGAUGAAUACAGAAGCGAAAGGAAGUGUGGCAUAAAGAAUUCAAUAAAAUAGAGAGAAUUUAAAUGUUUAUGAAUGAU